UAUUUCACUGCACUUCUCUCAACUCAAUGCAUUCUUCUUCAUUUCAUCUUCAUGUCUUCAUGACAAUAUUUAUUACUUCAACUCAACACAUGAAACAUAGAAUAGAUCCAAAAACAUUAAACAAUCAAUAACAGAACUAAUGCCCUACAAUUUUCUCACCAUGAAACAUAAGAAAUCAUACUAUACUAUCAAAAAUAAAUAGAAUAGACCUAGAAGGAUGUUCCACAAAAAAUACAUGUUCGGAUCCACCAAACAUGAAGUUAGGCCAACCGUUUUCCAAGAGAUUCCACACCACCGAAAGCAAAUAAGUAGUGGCCCCUAUUCUGAAUCCGUACUCGUUUUCGAAAUUAAAUAACCUUCUUAGGCAGCGAUCUCAAGUUUGCAGCCUUCCCC
rnacentral:lncRNA from 1 species